rnacentral:rRNA from 1 species
AUUGAACGCUAGCGGCAUGCCUUACACAUGCAAGUCGAACGGUAACAGGUCUUCGGAUGCUGACGAGUGGCGAACGGGUGAGUAAUACAUCGGAACGUGCCUAGUAGUGGGGGAUAACUACUCGAAAGAGUGGCUAAUACCGCAUGAGAUCUACGGAUGAAAGCAGGGGAUCGCAAGACCUUGUGCUACUAGAGCGGCCGAUGGCAGAUUAGGUAGUUGGUGGGAUAAAAGCUUACCAAGCCGACGAUCCGUAGCUGGUCUGAGAGGACGAUCAGCCACACUGGGACUGAGACACGGCCCAGACUCCUACGGGAGGCAGCAGUGGGGAAUUUUGGACAAUGGGCGCAAGCCUGAUCCAGCAAUGCCGCGUGCAGGAUGAAGGCCUUCGGGUUGUAAACUGCUUUUGUACUGAACGAAAAGCCCUGGGUUAAUACCCUGGGGUCAUGACGGUACCGUAAGAAUAAGCACCGGCUAACUACGUGCCAGCCGCCGCAGUAACAC